rnacentral:rRNA from 1 species
GACGAACGCUGGCGGCGUGCUUAACACAUGCAAGUCGAACGGAAAGGCCCUGCUUUUGUGGGGUGCUCGAGUGGCGAACGGGUGAGUAACACGUGAGUAACCUGCCCUUGACUUUGGGAUAACUUCAGGAAACUGGGGCUAAUACCGGAUAGGAGCUCCUGCUGCAUGGUGGGGGUUGGAAAGUUUCGGCGGUUGGGGAUGGACUCGCGGCUUAUCAGCUUGUUGGUGGGGUAGUGGCUUACCAAGGCUUUGACGGGUAGCCGGCCUGAGAGGGUGACCGGCCACAUUGGGACGGAGAUACGGCCGAGACUCCUACGGGAGGCAGGAGUGGGGAAUAUGGCACAAGGGGCGGAAGCCUGAUGCAGCAACGCCGCGUGGGGGAUGACGGCCUUCGGGUGGUAAACCGCUUUCGCCUGUGACGAAGCGUGAGGGACGGGAAUGGGGAAAGAAGCACCGGCAACCUACGG